CUGUGGUGGUAUACAGAUGUCUAUGGAGAAAGGGUAGUGAACUAGUGUCAGUAUAUCUGAGGGACUCAGACAAAUUUAGGAGGAAAGGCUGAGAUGGUUUGGACAUGUGUAGAGGAAGGAUAGUGGAUAUACUGGAGUAAUCAUUUGUUCCAAGCGAUUGGAGCCUCGGUGGAUCCACUCCUUAAGAUCAUCAUCCUAAACAUGAAAUGAACACUACAGGGACCUCUGCCAUGAAACCAGGCACGAACUGGUCGUCUUUGCUCUGGACCACCACACGCGCACCGACAAACAACUCAUUCACCUUUGGCAUGUGUUCAAAGGCAAUGUGGUGACCAGACACUAGGCUCCUCCCCUUCU